AGAUGCUGCCGCCGCUCGGGAAAGCCCUGCGGUGCGAGCGGCUGGCCACGGCGCGGACAGUGCCGGCGCGGAGGCUGUGGCCGACGCUGUGGACGCUGCCGCCGCCGCUGCUACGGGCGCCACUGUUGUUGUGAAGCCCCGACGCCGCCGCUCACUCCGCCAUGUUGCCGCCCCCUGCCUGCGGUAGCGGCCACUGCGCCUGCGCAGAGGCUCCGGGGGCGGAGCCCUCGUGCGCCCCCCUCCGUCGCCCUGCCCUCCUUCUCCUUCCACCCGCCCGCCCCGGCACCCCUCGGCCCUCCCCCAACCACCCCGAACGGGGAGAAAGGAGGUUCGUCAUCCUCGCGGUUGCAUCCAGCUGCUGCUGCUGCCAGGGCCACGUGCCUCGUAAGGUAGGGGAGUGGCAGACGACCUCUUCCUGCGGUCCUGUCCGCCUGCCCCGCCUGGAAUUUCCCCAAGGAAAAGUGGCUGGCAAAGCAGAAAAACGCACCGGGAGGGACGAUUCUGCACGGCCCGGGAAGGAUUCAGAUGGAGGGUAACGGGGCUUUUUCCACAGCCAUGAAAGAGGCUGACACCUGCUCACACAGGCGCGAUUUAAAAUAGAACUUGUCAAACAGUGAUCCUCUCCGGAAAGGGCUCGGAACAACAAACAGCUCUUAAACUCACCUCCCAGCCUAAAAAAGCGGCUCUUUGUGACACUGCGCGGUAACUAGCUGGGAGCAACAGAUCAAAUCCUUUAAAAUUCCCCAACGAUCUUCAGAACCAGCAUCAUGUGGAUGACUUCAAAAUCUGCUGUAUUCAUGAGCUGUAUCUGGGCCCACUGAAAGCAAGGCUGCAGUGACUCACAACCAAAGCCAAGAAGCUGCUCAACGCCCUUCUACGCUGCUGUUGGCCGUCUAAAGGAACACUCCAAAGAGCUGACAAGAAUAAAACAUCACAGCCAAAGCCAGACUAAGUAAGAAGGACUCCAGCGGCCAGAUCAAGCGGAAGGAAACUCCUCAUGCAACAUAUACCCAACCAGGGCCGAUCACUACUCAACCUAUACUGAAGUUCUUCAUUUCGUUCAGAUCCUAUGUUCAUUCUGAUAUAGGAGGAAUACAACUCCCAACCUGCCAGAUGUCAGAUGUGCAGAGUUCAUGUCCUCUGAGAUUGAAGAAUGAAUUGCAAAG